rfam:Octopus bimaculoides Scaffold29440_contig_56, whole genome shotgun sequence.
GCACGUGGCUUAGUGGUUAGGGCAUUCGACUCACGAUUGUAAGGUCAUGAGUUCAAUUCCCAGCAACGUGCU